GUGAAAGAAAAAUAUUACAGUAUUAGUUGUAGCAGCUCGAUCUGUUGUGAAUCCUGCCCACUUCUUUGCAUCAUCAGCACAUGCUUCAGUGCUCUGAGAGAGUUUAUAGUGCUGUGAGUUUAACACUUCAUGACUGAGAGCAGAACAGAACACAAUCUUCAUCAUCACACAAGACACAACAACAACAAUGAACAACAUCAUCAUCCUCAUCUGGACUCUCACACUGUUUGCUCAAGAUAGUAGAGGACAGAUCACUGUAACUCAGAGUCCAUCAAUAACAGCAGCUCAACCAGGACAAGAAGUCAGAAUAAACUGUAAAUCCAGCAGUAAUGUGCAUAGUGAUAGUAGUUAUGGGUCACGGAUGGCCUGGUAUUUACAGAAACCUGGAGAAGCUCCUAAACACCUCAUAUAUCUUGCAUCAACCCGUUACACUGGAACUCCAUCUAGAUUCAGUGGCAGUGGAUCUAACAGUGAUUUCACUCUGACCAUCAGUGGAGUCCAGACUGAAGAUACAGGAGAUUAUUACUGUCACAGUGAACACUAUAUCAGUAAUAGCUGGGUGUUCACACAGUGAUAAAGAGUCGUACAAAAACCUCCGUCAGUCAGAGUCACAGUGACUGCACUGAUACAGCUGAGAGAUACUGCAGCUGCUGAUGGAUGUGAAUCAUCUCAGUCACUCUUGUCUGUAGAUCAUUACAUUUCAAUGCAGAAAAUUAACUAUCUAUUAGCAGAAACCAAACAUUUCCAUUCAUAAGUUGCAUCAGGACACUUUUCCAUCAUUAAAGUUUAUGGAAUGGUCUCAAAGUCCAGAUUGAGUCUUGCCUUCACUACACAACUCUCUGACUACAUGAAUCACUGCUGCUCACAUCACACAAGACUUGUGCUCAUCUGUCAUCUCUGUGUUGCAGCGAUGCAGCUUCUAUAGUCUAGUCCAGUAUUUCACUAACAUGUGAUUUUGGGAGGCUGAGGUGGAGAGAGAGGACGUUUUUUCAUGAUCAGGAGCUGGAUGGAUUUCAUUCACUCAAAAAUGUAGAAGUCUUGUACUGAUUUGUGAGUCUUUUCUGGAUCUUUGAUCUGUUUUUCACACACAACUUCACAAAUGAUGUAAUAUUCAUAGUAUACUUUUCAGUAACGCAGACAUAACUUCAAUGUUCUACAAAUGGAUAAAAAAGAGCUCUGCCAUAGCAAUUCAUUUAUUAUGUAUUUUGAUCAAGAUACAUGCUGCUGUACUUUUUUAAUGUAGUCAAGCACUUUAUAUUUAUGUU